rnacentral:miRNA from 1 species
GGCUGGGGAUGUAGCUCAGUGGCAGAACACAUACCUCAUAGAUAUAAAGCUCUGGGUUCAACCCUAACCCCCA